rnacentral:rRNA from 1 species
UACGGAGGGAGCUAGCGUUAUUCGGAAUGAUUGGGCGUAAAGGACGCGUAGGCGGUUUUGUAAGUCUUUAGUGAAAUCCCCGAGCUUAACUCGGGAAUUGCUUGAGAUACUGCAUAACUAGAGUAUGGAAGAGGGUAGUGGAAUCUUUGGUGUAGAGGUGAAAUUCUUAGAUAUCAGAGAGAACGUCGGUGGCGAAAGCGACUACCUAGAACAUAACUGACGCUGAGGCGUGAAAGCGUGGGGAGCAAAAGGG